CACCGCGGUUAAACGAGAGGCCCCAGUUAAUAAUAUUACGGCGUAAAGGGUGGUUAUGGGAUAUAAUAAAUAAAGCUAAAUAGCCCCCCGGCCGUCAUACGCUUCCGGGAGCUAGAAACCCAAUUCCGCGAAAGUGGCUUUAACAAAUCUACCUGACCCCACGAAAGCUGAGGGA
rnacentral:rRNA from 1 species